UUUUGAUGUAUUAAGGUAUAUUGUAACUCUUUUCUGUUUUUCAUUUGAAAACAAAACGAUUUGAUGGUCAAAUUUGAUUAAAUAAAUAAUAAAUAUGUUGAGAAGACAUUGUUAAUGAUGUGUUAAUAAAAAAACAAAUUUUCUCUAAGUAAUUAACAUAAUGACUUAAUGGUUACCUUUUUAAAUAUAAGUAGUCAAGUUAAUAAAUCUUAAAUAGUAAGAUAAUUAUAAUUUAACAAUUUUGUAGGCGUUAAUGUGGAAAAUUUAGUUUUAAAAUUGAUAAAUAAUGUGAAGUUUUUCAGAUGCCAUGAUGAUGAACAAUAUCAUUUUGUUAAUUAAAAUAUAGCUGCUAUAAUAAAAACAGUGAAAUGACUUUCUUGGCUAAUUUAAACUAACAAAAACAUGUUUAAGGUUAAUGCGAUUAAUUAUGCAAAUUAUAUAUCCUCUAUUCCUAUGCAAAAAUUUAUAUUUAAAAAAUGACAAUACAAGUGAAUGUGGAUGUAGCUAAUGAUACGGAAUUUAUUUAUUUUGAGAUGAAUGAAUAAAAUAUUCUCCUUAUACUAAAUUGGCCCGUGUCAGCCAAGUACAAUCUAUCAUCACUAAGUGAUUGAUAAUUUGGGAGGAAAAAAAAAAAAAAAAAAAAAAAAAAAAUGAGAAUUUAAUAAGAUAAACUUAUCCUGUAACCGUCAUACACGACCUGAAAUAUUUCCACAAAAUAAAACAAUACUCUAAUGAAUACUUCAAUUAAUUCGAGAAAUUCAUUGAUAUUGAAAAAUCUUGAUGUACCCCCAAUAACCCUGUAAAUUUUUCAAUUGAUGUAUCGAACCGUUUUUUUCGGGGUGAUUAAAUAAAGUUUUGCAAAAGAAUUGAAGGAACGAGUUUUGUUUCUUAAAAAAAGUAAUCAUCAUCAAAAUAAAAAAAUUAUUUGUUUUGGACUUUUCUUAUAUUUUUACGUCGGUUACUCAGUAAAUGUGAAGAAAAGAGAAAAAAAAAUCUGUGUACCGGUAAACCCUGCAGACCAGCCCCAAAACUUCCCACUGUUUUUGAGCUCCUUGAGCUCGAAAACAUAAUUACUUGAAAAUUUUUCGGCUCUUCGAACUCAAAAAACUAUUAGACCGUCAAAAACAUGCAUUUCUCGCGUGGCUCUGAUGAAAACUUUAUUUUUGAAAAUUGGACCGAAACCAAUAAUUUUC